rnacentral:rRNA from 1 species
UUGAUCCUGGCUCACAACGAACGCUAGCGGCGUGGAUUAGGUAUGCAAGUCGAACGGGAACUUUGCGGAUGAUCCUUCGGGUGAAACUGCUUAGGAAACGUGGCGAAAGGGUGAGUAACGGAUAGACAAUCUACCCUCAACAGCGGGAUAAUCCAUCGAAAGGUGAAGUGAUACCGGAUGGUAUACUGUUUCUACGGAGACAGUAUUAAAGGGGGCUUCGGCUUCCGGUUGAGGAGGAGUCUAUUUCCUAUUAGCUUGUUGGUGCGGUAACGGCGCACCAAGGCUGUGAUGGGUAGGGGGCCUUAGCGGGUGGCCCUCCACACUGGGACUGAGACACUGCCCAGGUUCCUACGGGAGGCUGCAAUCGAGAAUCCUCCGCAAUGGGCGAAAGCCUGACGGGGUGACGCCGCGUGACCGAUGAAGGCUCUUACGGGUCGUAAAGGUCUUACAGGGAGUAUGAAAUAUACUGGGGCUAAUAUCUCCAGUAUUUGACGUCAAUCUCAAAUGAAGUCACGGCUAAAUUUGUGCCAGCAGCCGCGGUAAGACAAAUGUGGCAAGCGUUGUUCGGAAUCACUGGGCAUAAAGGGCACGUAGGCGGCGUAGUAAGUUAACUGUGAAAUCCCCCGGCUCAACCGGGGAACUGCAGUUAAUACUGCUGUGCUAGAGUGCAGAAGAGGAGAGUGGAAUUCUAGGUGUAGCGGUGGAAUGCGAAGAUAUCUAGGAGAAGGCCGGUGGCGAAAGCGACUCUCUGGUCUGUUACUGACGCUGAGGUGCGAGAGCGCAGGUAGCGAACGGGAUUAGAUACCCCGGUAGUCUGUGCCGUAAACGAUGGGCACUAGAUGGUGGAGGCGCCGAUAGCUUUCUCCGUCGCAGCUAAUACGUUAAGUGCCCCGCCUGGGGAGUAUGGCCGCAAGGUUAAAACUCAAAGGAAUUGACGGGGGCCCACACAAGCGGUGGAGGAUGUGGCUUAAUUCGAGGAUACCCGUAAAACCUUACCGAGGCUUGACAUGCAGGUGGUAGUGAAGUGAAAGCGGAACGACCCGAAUAGGGAGCCUGCACAGGUGCUGCAUGGCUGUCGACAGCUCGUGUCGUGAGAUGUUAGGUUAAGUCCUGUAACGAGCGAAACCCUUGUGCUUAAUUGCCAGCGCGUUAUGGCGGGGACCUUAAGCAGACUGCCCCGGCCAACGGGGAGGAAGGUGGGGAUGACGUCAAGUCAGCAUGGCCUUUAUGCCUCGGGCUGCACACGUCCUACAAUGGGCUGUACAACGGGGACCCAAACCGCAAGGUGGAGGAAAUCCUAUAAAGCAGUCCUCAGUUCGGAUUGCAGGCUGAAAUUCGCCUGCAUGAAGAUGGACUCGCUAGUAAUCGCCGGUCAGCAUACGCCGGUGAUACGUCCCUGGGCCUUGUACACACCGCCCGUCAAGCCACCCGAGUUGGGAGCACCCGAAAUCCGAGACUUAACCGCAAGGAUGGC